UAUUUACUUGAACCGAGAAUUUAUGAUUUUAAGAGUUUCAAUGAAUUUUAAGGAAUUGAUAUAAGUUGACCUUCCCUAAAGACUUGGGACUCUGCCGAGGAACUUUUGUUAUAAAAUCUCAUUGUUGGAUGGGUGAUUUUGAAUGUUCCCAAAAUGAAUCUUUAACUUUCCAUGGUUUUGGAAGUUUUGGAAAUAGAAUGCCGAUAGUGGCUUUGUUUUAAAAAGGGAACUCGCUUUGAGUAAAUUUGGCUUAUGAGCCUAAGAUGAUUUGAGAAAUAAGAUCUUUAAAGCCAAGGCUAAAAAAAGUUGAAAUUUGAUUUCAAAGUGAACUGGCUUGAGAAAAGUGAUUUAUGGUUUAAAUGCCGGUUUUAUGAAUUUGAUGAUGUUGAAUGGUGGAAGUGUUGUUUUGUUGUGAGCCGGAAUGGCUGUGUAUUUGAGUAAUCAAGUUUGAGGCAUUUUGGAAGAGUUAGAAAAAUGGGUUCCAAAAAGAAACCUGAGAGUGGUUUGAUUCAAAUGAACCGGUUCCGUUUCAAAUGAGUUGAUUUUUGGACCGGGUUGGAACUUGUGAUUUUGAAUGGCCAGUUUUAUAGUAAAUUCAGUUUUAUUUACUUGAACCGAGAAUCUAUGAUUUUAAGAGUUUCAAUGAAUUUUAAGGAAUUGAUAUAAGUUGACCUUCCCUAAAGACUUGGGACUCUGUCGAGAAUUGUUUUGUUAUAAAAUCUCAUUAUUGGAUGGGUGAUUUUGAAUGUUCCCAAAAUGAAUCUUUAACUUUCCAUGGUUUUGGAAGUUUUGGAAAUAGAAUGCCGAUAGUGGCUUUGUUUUAAAAAGGAAACUCGCUUUGGGUAAAUUUGGCUUAUGAGCCUGAGAUGAUUUGAGAAAUAAGAUCUUUAAAGCCAAGGCUAAAAAGAGUUGAAAUUUGAUUUCAAAGUGAACUGGCUUGAGAAAAGUGAUUUAUGGUUUAAAUGCCGGUUUUAUGAAUUUGAUGAUGUUGAAUGGUGGAAGUGUUGUUUUGUUGUGAGCCGGAAUGGCUGUGUAUGAUUAUGAAUAUUGGCUGGUUCUUGAUUGAGCCGUGAGCCGGAAUGGCUGUGUAUGAUAUUAAUUU
rnacentral:lncRNA from 1 species